rnacentral:lncRNA from 1 species
GCCGUGCCCUUGGACGCCCUGCCCUGCCCUGCUCUUCCUCCUCCUAGCAGGCGUUUCAGCCUCUCGCGACCUCGGAUUUGAUGAAUCAACGGCCAUCCCAAGCUUGAGCGUUCCCUCCGGGCCGAGAAGCCACUAGUGCCGCCGUUUUUCUUCUCGGCAAGGUAGUCCCCAUGUCAUUCCGAUUGGUUUUGAGAUCGCAUUGGCAUUGCCUAGAGUCGGCUGAACUUUAAUUUUUAUCUCUGCUGCCCGUCUCCUUCCAUCCAUUAGCCCUAUGUCAUUCCGACUGGUUUUGAGAUCGCAUUGGCAUUGCCUAGAGUCGAUUGAACCAUCUUUUUUUUCCCUCGGGGGAUACCAUGGGUGGUUGCCGUUCACAUACUUCAUUGGAUCCACUUAUUUUCUUUCGUGCUAAGCUGAUUCACGAUUCACCUCUUGCAGAUAUCAAUCUUGUAUCGGCCCUUUAGGAACUGAUUUAGACUUUAGAGGCUUAUGCUACGUGAUAUGGUGUUGUAUCAUCAGGUUUUACUCUGAUUUGUUUGCCAGGUGCUCGAUGAAAUUCCCACCCAAGCAGAUUUUGUUCUGUUGUACCAGGGGUGCAAGGUGGAUCUGAUUUGAAAAAAAAAAAGAUGUGCUUUCCUGUCUCCUGUAUGUUAGAUAUGUUUGGUUGGAUGUUAUUUAUACCGGUCCUUGCUUAUUUCCAUGAGAUAAUUUUUGUGAAGGUACAAAUACAAUACUAGAAAAUUUCAUAGACCAGAAUGGGGAUUAUACCUUCAGUUCCAUUGAGUAUGCGCUUCACAAUAUCUAGUACACUAAAUAAAGGAAACUGCAGGUUUUCCUGACAUUUGACAUGUAAGUAAAAUUCUUACUAUGUUUGCCAAAUGACUGGAUAUUCUGAAUUUAGCGUUUCAUAGUGAAAUCCUGUCAUUCUGAAGUGUACAUCAUAUUUUUUUUCUGUUAUUUCAUAAUAGUGUUUAUACAGUCAGAGCAUGUUAGAACAAGCUUAUGCUUUCUUCUCUUUGUCUUAGCCUCGCCUUUUUGUCUUCACAACCAUGAUCCAAACCAUAAGCUAUGCUCUCAACCUAUGCGAUUCUUUGAAACUGAAAAGAAAAAUAUUUGCAAAUCCUCAGAGUACAUUUUAUUGCCCAUUGUCGGUUUUGAGAGCAACACAAACAUUUACUUCCAUAGUAAAUGGAAAUUAACUUUGCUGGCAUUUUGUUAAAUUUGCUGGGAGCUUUACUUACGAGUGUGGUGCUUAAUAAGAUUUAGGUAUAGCAGUUGGUGCAUCUGUUCUGGUUGUUGUAGUCGAUGGAGUUUUCUUUGAGCCUUUUAUCUAUCUCAGUAAAAGAAAGGGUUUUAAAUUUGCAGGAGUAUUCAGAGUUGUUUAAAGGAGGAAUGGAAGGAUAAAAUGAAGUAUCCACUACGACGGCCACUUCCUUAUGCAUAUAAAAUUGAGGUAUCCCGUAUAUCCAUGAUAAGAGUAGUUGCCUUCCAAUCCAUAAGAAAACAUACUGUGCCUUUGUGAUUUUAGCUGCAUGCAGUUAUGCAUCUUCCUGUCUUCUGUGAAAUUGCAGAAUCUCUGUUACCCAGAAUUGCUCGAGACUUUGAGCCUACACGUAUGAAACCUCCAGAUUUUUUUUUGAGUGAAAUACACCACUAGUGCAUAAACUCGGAUAGAAUGCACAGUUUAGUCCACAAACUCAAAAAACGCACACAUAAAGCCCUAAACAUACUGUGCCUUCGUGAUUUAUUUUCGUUGCUUAGUUUAGAGAUUAUAGGACCUACAUACUGAUAUUAUUUUUGCGCAAAACAUACUGAUAUAUGAAUGAAUGGGCUAAGUUGUUUGUUUUCAGACAAACUGACUUACCUCGCCAGGCUUCUUGGUUUAGCUUGUGAUCUUUCCAAAGUUAUGAGAUAAGAGCCGAUCCAUUACUGGACACUUUCUUUUUUCAAUCUCUACAUCUUUAUGUCAUGUUCGUAGUCGAUUUAGGAGGACUUUCGCAUGCUUAUGGAAAUAACGUUUCAAAAGUAAAUGCUGAAGUUUUUCGUCUAAUCCUAAUUUCAACACUCAAUUGCAUAUGCAAUUCAACACAUGUUAUUGAAAUGCCUUAAACUAUUUUUAUAUGUUUUGCGAAAUAGCUAUCCGGGACCAUGCAGGCAUUUAGGUUGAUGAGUAGUGUAAGUUUCUAGUGGAAUCUACGCAACCCAAAUAGCCAAGUGCACUGUGAAAGCUUUUGAACAACGAUGAUGCCAUGAAAAAAAGUAUAAUUUAUUGUUCCCAGUUCCAGAACUUACAGUUCGCGACAACUAUUCAUUUAGUUACUUGCCUUGCUGCUGUGCUAAUGACAGGUUUACAACAAAGAAUGAUUGGCAUAAGAACAAUGAAAAAUAAUCAGCACCCAGAAGCACUCCUUCUAUUCCCAGUUUAGCAGAUGGGCAGUGGUUC